rnacentral:lncRNA from 1 species
UCUGGAACCCCCAAACAUCGUACUCUACCAUAAUACCUCCAUAAAGUCCUGCACUGCCUCUAUAGGUCUAAGCACCUCCGGAAGAGCAGUAGACAACUGCUAGACAUGCAUAGCUCUCAGGCAGAGAAAUAGUGUGUGCUCCACCAUCUCCUUCUCUUGUCCGCAUCCAGGCAAGAAGAUGGGAUAUCCAUCCCCCAAGCCUUCAGCACCCCCUGAUGGGAAGACAGCCUCGUGCAACCUUCCAGAGAAAUAAGCUUACUCUAGGGUGAGCCCCAUUCCUCUAG